rnacentral:rRNA from 1 species
UUGGAGGGCAAGUCUGGUGCCAGCGGCCGCGGUAAUUCCAGCUCCAAUAGCGUAUAUUAAAGUUGUUGCAGUUAAAAAGCUCGUAGUUGAAUUUCGGGGUUCAUACGUUGGUCGGGCUUUUGGGUCUGUACUGGCGUAAUGGAUUCCUACCUUCUGAAUAACCGGCAUGCCAUUAAUUUGGUGCGCCGGGGAAGCAGGACUGUUACCUUGAAAAAAUUAGAGUGCUUAAAGCAGGCUAUCGCCUGAAUACAUUAGCAUGGAAUAAUGAAAUAGGACGGCAUGGUUCUAUUUUGUUGGUUUCUAGGAUCACCGUAAUGAUUAAUAGGGAUAGUUGGGGGCAUUAGUAUUCAAUUGUCAGAGGUGAAAUUCUUGGAUUUAUUGAAGACUAACUUCUGCGAAAGCAUUUGCCAAGGAUGUUUUCAUUAAUCAAGAACGAAAGUUAGGGGAUCGAAGACGAUCAGAUACCGUCGUAGUCUUAACCAUAAACUAUGCCGACUAGGGAUCGGACGAUGUUAAUUUUUUAAUGACUCGUUCGGCGCCUUACGGGAAAC